GGUGUUUACUGUCGAACUGAACACUCUACCGUUUACUGUCUGGUGGUGCUCUUCACCGAGUGUCACCAGUGGUCGGUACGUUUACUUUGAAAAAAUUAGAGUGCUCAAAGCGGUUUUUACACGACCGAAUACUGUUGCAUGGAAUAAUGAAAUAGGACUUUGGUUCUAUUUUGUUGGUCUUCGGAACCAAGGUAAUGAUUAAGAGGGACAGACGGGGGCAUUAGUAUUGCGACGCUAGAGGUGAAAUUCUUGGACCGUCGCAAGACUAACUAAAGCGAAAGCAUUUGCCAAGAAUGUUUUCAUUAAUCAAGAACGAAAGUUAGAGGUUCGAAGGCGAUCAGAUACCGCCCUAGUUCUAACCAUAAACGAUGCCAACCAGCAAUCAGCCUGUGUUCUCUUGAUGACACGGCUGGCGGCUUCCGGGAAACCAAAGUCUUUCGGUUCCAGGGGAAGUAUGGUUGCAAAGCUGAAACUUAAAGGAAUUGACGGAAGGGCACCACCAGGAGUGGAGCCUGCGGCUUAAUUUGACUCAACACGGGGAAACUCACCCGGCCCGGACACUGUGAGGAUUGACAGGUUGAAGCCCUUUCUUGAUUCAGUGGGUGGUGGUGCAUGGCCGUUCUUAGUUGGUGGAGUGAUUUGUCUGGUUAAUUCCGAUAACGAACGAGACUCUAGCCUACUAAUUAGACCGUGGCGUCCUCGUGCCGCCACGGCGCUUCCUAGAGGGCACAGACGG
rnacentral:rRNA from 1 species